CUGGGUGACAUGGCUGCAGGAGCUGGAAGUCAGGCUGGAGGCUGCUGAAUCUCCACCUUGCAGCUUUGCCAGUGGCAGAGGGGUUUCCAUCCACGGGCGAUGGAGACAAGGAACACUGAG
rnacentral:lncRNA from 12 species